UCUUCCCCAGGCGCCUGCGCCUAACCGGUUCCCCGGCGCCAUUUUGUCCCGGCAGCAGCAGCCCGCAGCUCUAUCCCAUUUUCUGUGAGGGAAGGACGCGGACUCUCUCCGCUCUGUCUCCCUUUGACAUUGCAUUUCGGAAGCUGGGUUGCGAUCUGCAGACACCAAGGGCCCAAGGUGGCAGCCUCCUUGGUAAAGACGGAGGAGGUGUGGUUUCCUGAAACGUCUUGCGUGGGGAAGAAGAGGUAUUUCCUCCAACUGUGAAGCUAGGAGGAAAGGUGGAAGCCCCGGCUUUCGGAAUGCUGAGGAAUGUGCCUGCCAGGACAGACGCUGCUGCCACUAUGACCUUAGACAAGCGACUCUUGUCACUGCAUGAGGCAGUUGUGCUGAAGACAACAGACACCUCCAUGACAACCCAAAGUAUCACAGAGGAAAUGAACAGCUGUGGACUCAUUCAAAGUUAAUUAAGAUUAGGUUUGACCAUGGAAGACUUCUAGAGACUCUUGGCUGAUGAUGUGGAAAAAGAGACCCAGAAGAACAAAAAAACAGGUGACUGGAAUGCUGGUCCCCCUGUGCAGGAACAGCUCAGGAGGCUGGCGGAGACAUGAGUGUCCUUGCAGAAGCCAGCAGUCUUGUUGGCUGUCAGGUCCUCAUGACUUAGAAUUACAUGUCAUCCUUUCAUGUGGCAUGAAUGAGGAUUUAUAAAGCCCUAUUACGGUUUGGUAUGCAGUCCAAACAGACUUACAAAGAUUGGCAGAUAAAUUUUACCUGCUCAAGCAUAGAGCAGAGACUCCUCUUUAGCUAAUUUGUGCAUACAGCACUUUCCGUACACAAGUUACUGCAGAGCUGGGGCAGGAAGUAAGGGUGGAAUUCCUGAGCACGCUGACACUGAUGCUGAAGGAAGCAGGAGGUGGGCGGAGCUGGCAGUGGUGAGAGCCACGUGGAUACAUGGGAUGGUGGAGGAGUCAGGAAAAGUUAGUAGCUAGCUGAGACUGUCCUAGCAAAAGACCAACAGCUUUAAUUUUCUUCAAAAUUUAAUAAUAAACUGUGGAAAUAAACUAUUUUGAAAGAGUAGUUCAUAGAUUCCAUUGAGAAUGUAAUUAAUUGACCUGUUUAGUAUUUUUUAUUGAAAAAAUAAAUUGAGAUUCUUUUUUUUUUUUAAA